CUAAUCAUCAUGGACAUGGAGAGCUCGAUGCCACGACCCCACUAGAGCCAGGGUGAUAAAUAGAGAAGAUGGCUAGGGUAGAGCACACAAGGAGAGCAGGUUCAGGGAGAGAUGAAGAUGAGACCAAAGCGGGAAGAGUGAAGGGAAGAUUAACCUCCCCUUGCUGAGACGUGUGACACUCAAGGCCCAAAUCAGAAAACUUCUGCUUGAGGAAACAUUACUCUUUCCUCCAUGACUGCUGGUGGUAUCCAUCUGUCAGACUCCCUGAGCCUUGAUGCCCCUCACUCCUUCUGCUGUGGAGUAGGAACGUGAAACACAAACAGUCAUCCCUCCAAUUCCUCCAACCCAUGGGGGAUUGGUUCCAUGACCCCUAACAAAUACCAAAUUUCAUGGAUGUUCAAGUCCCUUAUUGCAAAUGGCAUGGUAUUUGCAUAUAACCGAUGCACAUCCCCCCAUCUACUUUAAAUCAUCUCUAGAUUAUCUAUAAUACCUAACACAAUGUAAACGCUAUGCAAAUAGUUGUUAUACCAUAUUGUUUUUUAAACUUGUAUUAGUUUUCAUUGUUGUUUUGUUAUUUUUAUUGUUUUAUUUUUCCUAAAUAUUUUCGAUUCACAGUUGGUUGAAUUUGGGAUGUAGAACCUGUGGAUGUGGAGAACUAACUGUAACAAUAACAGGGAGGCAGCUGUCAUUCAGUCCACUGUCUCCAUGGCCUGAACAAGACAUGCUGGAUCAUCUCGAAAUGUCAUUUGUAGAACAAAAUAUUUCGAGUCUCACAAGACUUCUCUCCACUAUUAUGCACUGCUGUUGUCCCGUUUCUGGGACUUGAGUGAUCACGUCAUCUCUCUGGACCUCAAGUUCCUCAUCCAUGAAGGGGAAGAAACGAGCUUAGGGUGCCUAUUGCUCAAAUGCUCCUGUUCUUUCUCUUUUUGAGAAUUAGUCACAGGGACUUCCCAUGUCUUGGUUUGCUCUUGUACUGUUAUUUUGUUGUCUUUUGGUUUGCUUGUUUAUUCAUUUGUUUGUUUGUUUUCACA
rnacentral:lncRNA from 10 species